rnacentral:rRNA from 1 species
AUACGGAGGAUGCAAGCGUUAUCCGGAUUUAUUGGGUUUAAAGGGUGCGUAGGCGGUUGGAUAAGUCAGCGGUGAAAGUUUUCUGCUUAACAGGAAAAAUGCCGUUGAUACUGUCUGGCUAGAAUAUGGUUGCUGUGAGUGGAAUGUGUGGUGUAGCGGUGAAAUGCUUAGAUAUCACACAGAAUAUCGAUUGCGAAGGCAGCUCACAAAGCCAUUAUUGACGCUGAGGCACGAAAGUGUGGGGAUC